AUUGAACGCUGGCGGCAUGCCUUACACAUGCAAGUCGAACGGUAACAGGUUAAGCUGACGAGUGGCGAACGGGUGAGUAAUAUAUCGGAACGUGCCCAGUCGUGGGGGAUAACUGCUCGAAAGAGCAGCUAAUACCGCAUACGACCUGAGGGUGAAAGCGGGGGAUCGCAAGACCUCGCGCGAUUGGAGCGGCCGAUAUCAGAUUAGCUAGUUGGCGGGGUAAAAGCCCACCAAGGCAACGAUCUGUAGCUGGUCUGAGAGGACGACCAGCCACACUGGGACUGAGACACGGCCCAGACUCCUACGGGAGGCAGCAGUGGGGAAUUUUGGACAAUGGACGCAAGUCUGAUCCAGCCAUGCCGCGUGCGGGAAGAAGGCCUUCGGGUUGUAAACCGCUUUUGUCAGGGAAGAAAAGGUUCUGGUUAAUACCUGGGACUCAUGACGGUACCUGAAGAAUAAGCACCGGCUAACUACGUGCCAGCAGCCGCCGUAAAAC
rnacentral:rRNA from 1 species